rnacentral:rRNA from 1 species
GGGCCGCAGUAUUUUGACUGUGCAAAGGUAGCAUAAUCAAUAGUCUUUUAAUUCGGGGACUGGAAUGAAUGAUUGGAUGAAAAAUUUUCUAUCUAAUAUAUAAAAAUUGAAUUUUACUUUUAAGUGAAAAGGCUUAAAUAUAUAAAAGUGACGAUAGACCCUAUAAAACUUAAUUAAAUAUAUUUUUAAAAAAAAAUAAAAUUAAUUCUUUAAAAAUUAAUUUAAUUGGAUUGGGGCGAUUGAGAUAUAAUAAAUAUAACUGUUUUUAUAAAAAUAUAAUUAUUAUUAGAAUUUGAUCCUUUAUUAAAGAUUAAAAGAUAAAGUUACUUUAGGGAUAACAGCGUAAUUUUUUUAGAGAGUUCAUAUCGAUAAAAAUAGUUGCGACCUCGAUGUUGAAUUAAAUUUUCUUUUAAAUGCAGCAGUUUAAAAAGUAGGUCUGUUCGACCUUUAAAAAUUU